rnacentral:rRNA from 1 species
AAUCAACGCUGGCGGCGUGCCUAACACAUGCAAGUCGAACGCGAAAGCCCGCAAGGGUAAGUAGAGUGGCGCACGGGUGAGUAACACGUGGACAACCUGCCUUCGAGUGGGGAAUAACCUUCCGAAAGGAGGGCUAAUACCGCAUAACACCUCGGGACACAAGUUCUGGGGUUGAAAAGAGCAAUUUGCUCGAAGAGGGGUCCGCGCCUGAUUAGCUAGUUGGUGAGGUAACGGCUCACCAAGGCUUCGAUCAGUAGCCGUCCUGAGAGGGAGCACGGCCACACUGGAACUGAGACACGGUCCAGACUCCUACGGGAGGCAGCAGUGGGGAAUUUUGGCAAUGGGCGAAAGCCUGACCAAGCAACGCCGCGUGGGUGAUGAAGUAUCUUGGUACGUAAAACCCUUUCGGCAGGGACGAACCUAAUGACGGUACCUGCGGAAGAAGCCCCGGCUAACUCCGU